UGUUCCUUAUCAUCAUCAUCAUCCAUGGAUCCAUGAAUAAUAACACUAGCACAUGGGAAGUAGCAGCGGCGGCAGGAGAAGGAGCAGAGCUCAGAGAUCCGUGGCAAUAUCGCACUGUCUGUUCACAUCAUCUAAUUAAACCCAGAUUAACAUCGCAACAUUUAAUAUUAUAAAUAAAUGAUGGUAAAAGUAUAAACAGUAGAAAAUAGUAAUAUAGGAAAACCCAUUUGCUAACCAUUUCUGUUUCUCCUGCUUCUGUCAUCUGUUUACAGAUUUAGACAGCACACGCAGAAGAAGAGUGAAGACCAGAACACUUCCUUGGUUCAACAACAAGGAGAAGAUAUAAACUGUUCCUGUUCUAUUUCCAUCUACAGAUGGGAACCCAACAAGGGAAGAUGGCUGGGAUCUGGCACUUCUUCUUCUCCGUCGUCGUCUUCGACCAAGGUGGAGGAGCGGCUGGGGGAGGUAGCAAACGGCAUCCCAAGUAGUAGCAGCAGCAGCACUGUAAUCAAUGUUGUGAUAUUGACACAAUAGGCUCAAUCAAAACUCAUGUUUUUAUUUUUAUUUCUUCCAACCAAGUCAGAUAUAUAGAUCAUUCCUAUUGAAUCUGUAUUAAUCUGUAUGAACUAUGAAGUCAAUCAAAUGGAGUUUCUUCUUCUUUUUCUUCCUUUUUCUUCAAAAAAAUUGAUUUUUAUUUAUUUUUACAUCAAGUUGGAUGUUUUUUCUUCUGAGUUCCAAAUGUAGGAUUGUCAUACAUAGGUUCACAUA
rnacentral:lncRNA from 1 species